AUGAAAAGUCUUAAAGAAGGAAAGAUCAUUUCUGACCAGGAAGUUCAAGAGUCGUCUUGCUUUUACACUUCUCUGCUAUUAAGCCUAGGCUCCAGGAAGAGUUUGGUGCCAUUAACUCCAGGUGAAUAUGUCAUUGUGCUAUGUGGCUUCAUGUUCCCAGGAAAAAACUGCAUUUUAAUCCUGCCUAUUCUGUAGUUCUCAUGGGUAUCUCUUAUGGAAUGACUGAUCACAGAGAUAUUUCCUUGGGACAUCCCAUGUACUGUCAUGAACAGUUAUAUGUAUGAAUAUAUAUAUGUGAAUAUGUAUACUUGUUAUACAUAUACACUUACUGUGAUUGUCAACAUUUCCUGUCCCCCCCCAAAAAAAAAUCCUUCCUUUUUCAUUAAUAGAAGUUUCACUAUGGACCUGAAUUAAUUCUUCUAAGUAUUUCUUCAUCUGUUAAAAAGGGGGUGAUAAUGCCUGGUGUACCUACAUCACAGUAGGGUUGUACAAAUUAAAUUAGAUGGGUAAGUGUGUGAUGCCCAGGCAUUUAAUAAAUGCUGGUUGACUGGCA
rnacentral:lncRNA from 1 species